UACGUAGGGGGCGAGCGUUGUUCGGAUUUAUUGGGCGUAAAGAGCUCGUAGGCGGCUUGGCAAGUCGGGUGUGAAACCUCCAGGCUCAACCUGGAGACGCCACUCGAUACUGCCAUGGCUAGAGUCCGGUAGGGGACCACGGAAUUCCUGGUGUAGCGGUGAAAUGCGCAGAUAUCAGGAGGAACACCGGUGGCGAAGGCGGUGGUCUGGGCCGGCACUGACGCUGAGGAGCGAAAGCGUGGGUAGCAAACAGG
rnacentral:rRNA from 1 species